rnacentral:tRNA from 4 species
GCCCUCUUAGCUCAGUUGGUAGAGCACUUCCAUGGUAAGGAAGAGGUCUCCGGUUCAAAUCCGGAAGAGGGCU